rnacentral:rRNA from 1 species
UUGCACUCAAUUGGAAAGAGGAGUGGCGGACGGGUGAGUAACACGUGGGUAACCUACCCAUCAGAGGGGGAUAACACUUGGAAACAGGUGCUAAUACCGCAUAACAGUUUAUGCCGCAUGGCAUAAGAGUGAAAGGCGCUUUCGGGUGUCGCUGAUGGAUGGACCCGCGGUGCAUUAGCUAGUUGGUGAGGUAACGGCUCACCAAGGCCACGAUGCAUAGCCGACCUGAGAGGGUGAUCGGCCACACUGGGACUGAGACACGGCCCAGACUCCUACGGGAGGCAGCAGUAGGGAAUCUUCGGCAAUGGACGAAAGUCUGACCGAGCAACGCCGCGUGAGUGAAGAAGGUUUUCGGAUCGUAAAACUCUGUUGUUAGAGAAGAACAAGGACGUUAGUAACUGAACGUCCCCUGACGGUAUCUAACCAGAAAGCCACGGCUAACUACGUGCCAGCAGCCGCGGUAAUACGUAGGUGGCAAGCGUUGUCCGGAUUUAUUGGGCGUAAAGCGAGCGCAGGCGGUUUCUUAAGUCUGAUGUGAAAGCCCCCGGCUCAACCGGGGAGGGUCAUUGGAAACUGGGAGACUUGAGUGCAGAAGAGGAGAGUGGAAUUCCAUGUGUAGCGGUGAAAUGCGUAGAUAUAUGGAGGAACACCA